CGCACAUUGCGCCCCUCAGUAUUCUGGAGGGCAUACCUGUUCGAGCGUCAUUAUCAACCAUCAAGCUAGGCUUGCUAUUGGGUUCUGAUCGUUAAGAGAUCGGCCUUAAAGAUAGAUGACGGUGUGAGGUUGGACACCUGAUGCAACGAGCUUUACAGCACGCAUCGGUUAGAGGCUUUACUCCAGUUUAACCGUAACUUUUUUAGACGUUGACCUCGGAUCAGGUAGGAUUACCCGCUGAACUUAA
rnacentral:misc_RNA from 1 species